GAUGAACGCUGGCGGCGUGCCUAAUACAUGCAAGUCGAGCGAACGGACGAGAAGCUUGCUUCUCUGAUGUUAGCGGCGGACGGGUGAGUAACACGUGGAUAACCUACCUAUAAGACUGGGAUAACUUCGGGAAACCGGAGCUAAUACCAGAUGAUAUUUUGAACCGCAUGGUUCAAAAGUGAAAGACGGUCUUGCUGUCACUUAUAGAUGGAUCCGCGCUGCAUUAGCUAGUUGGUAAGGUAACGGCUUACCAAGGCAACGAUGCAUAGCCGACCUGAGAGGGUGAUCGGCCACACUGGAACUGAGACACGGUCCAGACUCCUACGGGAGGCAGCAGUAGGGAAUCUUCCGCAAUGGGCGAAAGCCUGACGGAGCAACGCCGCAUGAGUGAUGAAGGUCUUCGGAUCGUAAAACUCUGUUAUUAGGGAAGAACAUAUGUGUAAGUAACUGUGCACAUCUUGACGGUACCUAAUCAGAAAGCCACGGCUAACUACGUG
rnacentral:rRNA from 1 species